GUGGAUCCUCGGUUAACCAUUUUAAUUCUCUAAAGCACCUGACCGCAACGGGAGGGCGCGUAACGGAGAUGUUCACCUCCUCUUCCUCCUCUUCCUCCUCUGGAGUCUCACGGCCAUGAGGCCCAUGACACUCUCCUUCACGCUUUCUCAUGGCCUUAACACUCAAAGCCAGUAAUGGCUUCGUAUCUCGCAUCAGAGCCCUAUUCAAACUGCAGAGAUUUAGCCACGCAAUAGUCGACGGAGGACUACAACCUCAAUUCCACCGAGAUAUGGGUUCGGAUUCGAACUCAAUCCCAGAACAAUGUCAAAUUGACAUGUCGAAAUGGAAAAAAUUGGACUCAAGGACCUUCGGUAUAACGCGGUCGAUGAUUUCAUCGCCCUCAUGGGUUGUCUUGAAACUUCUUCAGCGUGAAGGAUUUGAAGCCUACCUGGUAGGUGGGUGUGUGAGAGACUUAAUCCUGAAUAAAACACCUAAAGAUUUUGAUGUGAUCACCACAGCUAAACUUAAACAGAUCAAGAAGAGAUUUCGCCGUGCUCAGAUUGUUGGACGGCGGUUUCCUAUAUGCAGAGUGCAUGUUAAAGGUUCUGUAAUUGAGGUAUCCAGCUUUGAAACAGUGGCAAAGCAUGGUGAAGAAAAAGAAAAAGUUAGUUUCUCCCAAAUGCCAAGUGGUUGUGAUGAAAGUGACUUCAAUCGCUGGAGGAACUGUAUGCAUCGAGAUUUCACAAUUAACAGUUUAUUCUUUGAUCCUUUUGUGAAUAAAAUCUAUGAUUACGCUAAUGGAAUGAAGGAUUUGAGGUCCUUAAAGCUACGGACAUUAAUCCCCGCACAGUUGUCAUUCAAAGAGGACUGCGCUAGAAUGUUGCGGGGUUUAAGAAUUGCAGCUCGUCUAGGCCUGUCAUUUUCAAGGGAAACUGAGACUGCAAUACGAAGCCUUGCUUCAUCUGUUAAGAGUUUGGACAAGUCCAGGAUAAUGUUGGAGUUAAACUAUAUGCUGUCUUAUGGAUCCGCUAAGCCUUCUCUCUGUUUACUUUGGAGAUUCAACCUGCUUGACAUUCUGCUUCCAUUUCAUGGAGCAUACCUUGCUCAACAGGCCACUGAACCAUCUGCACAGCAUUCCAUGAUGUUUAUGAAAUUAUUCUUCAAUUUGGAUAAAUUGGUUACUUGUGAUCGACCUUGUGAUUGCAGUCUAUGGGUUGGACUGUUGGCAUUUCACAUGGCAUUAGUAAACAAACCCCAAGAUGCUUCUGUAGUUUGGACUUUAUCUUCUGUUCUAUAUCAUGGGAAGUGGACAGAAGGUGUUAAAUUUGCAAGAAAACAUGCUCUAGCGCCAAUUAGUUUCUCACCUGAGAUUUUAGUGGAAUGUGAUUCUAAAUCAGAUGAAGAACUAGCAGAAAGAGUUUCUGAGUUGGCAUCACUUGUGCAAGAUUGUGCAAUUUCUUCGACUAAAACGGGUGACCUUUCUGCAUCAAUGUCCGACUACCCUGACUACCCAUGCUCCGGUUUGGUAUUUGUACAGAAGAGGAUGGCAGAACGUGUUGCUCAUAUUUUUAAUGUGCUGGUGAAUGGUAUUGAAUCUUAUAAGGAGGGAAGGGAGAGUCCUGAGAUUGACUAUUACUUGCUCGGAAAGGGAGAUCUGAGAGAGACUAGAUUUGUUCUUGGCAAAGUUAUUAUGGACACAAUGAGCAGUGGGCUUGUCCAGAUGGGAACAGAGGUUCUUGAGGAGAAAAAUCAGCUGCACAUGUCUUAUAAUGAACAGAAGCCAGAGGCACUCGAACAGGAUUGCCAUCCCAUUCUUUAUGAGGUGGUAAAACAUCUGGUGGUUGCUAAGGAGGAUAAAAAACGCAGUCUAUCAUCAUUUAAUCCUGAACUACAGCAAGAGAGGGGAAAGAAGCAGAAGUUGGUUGACAUAGAGUUCGAUCCUUUAGAGCAGGAGAUUGCUAAGGAGAAGCAGAAAGAAAAGAAUAACAAACACCAGGAGAUAGCAAAAAAGCAGGAGAUGGCUGAGAAUGAGCAGCACCAGGAAAUGGCCAAGAAGCAUUUGAAAAUGGUAGGGAAGGAGAAUCUCCAAAAAUCAGCUAAAAGGCAGGAUAAAGUAGCUAAGAACAGUCAUUUACCACAACAGAAGUUGGCUAGAAAGCAAAAUGAGCAGCACAAGCUAGAAGAAGCAGUUAAUCAGAAACCUAGUCGACCGUCAUUAUCCAGUCUCUUCAAGUGAAUGUAUCUUUCUGCUGUAAAUUACUACCCAGUUACUUGGUUAGCAUCACAGUGAAACUGACCUUUGACAAUAACAGGUCUACCACAAAGGGGCAUGUCAUCUUCCCCACUUCAUCUCUCAAUUACUGUGAACAUUCUGCCCAUUCUGAUGGUUCCAUCACAUGGAAAGUUCCGGGUAAUAAUAGUAGUAGUCUUCAGUUCAAAGGCCAUAGCAGAUUGAAAUAAAUAGAUUUGUGGUUAUGUUUUGGAAAGUCUGUCAGUGAAUGUCAGAUAUGACAGGGCCCGUCAAAUGCUAAAUACUGAUUCUAAAAUGCCCUUCAGAUUGGAGGCUUCAGCA